GUCUACAUUAGAUACCCGGGUAGUCCCAGCCGUAAACUAUGCUCGCUAGGUNUUGGGAUGGCCUCGAGCUGCCCAGUGCCGAAGGGAAGCUGUUAAGUCCACCGCCUGGGAAGUACGGUCGCAAGACUGAAACUUAAAGGAAUGCGGGAGCACCACAACGCGUGGAGCCUGCGGUUUAAUUGGAUUCAACGCCGGACAUCUCACCAGGGCGACAGCAGGAUGAUGGCCAGAUUGACGAUCUUGCUUGACAAGCUG
rnacentral:rRNA from 1 species